UACGAAGGGGGCGAGCGUUAUUCGGAAUCACUGGGCGUAAAGCGUGCGUAGGCUGUUCUGCAAGUCAGGUGUGAAAGCCCAAGGCUCAACCUUGGAAGCGCUCUUGAAACUGCAGGACUAGAAUUUGGGAGAGGAUAGCGGAAUUGUCAGUGUAGCAGUGAAAUGCGUAGAUAUUGACAGGAACACCAGUGGCGCAAGCGGCUAUCUGGACCAACAUUGACGCUGAGGCACGAAAGCGUGGGGAUCAAACAGG
rnacentral:rRNA from 1 species